UAAUGCAGCGGAUCCGCAUGGAUAUGUUGUAAAGGUUUACCGCCUUGGGAUAGGCUUGCGUCUGAUUAGCUAGUUGGUGUGGUAAUGGCACACCAAGGCUACGAUCAGUAACUGGUCUGAGAGGAUGAUCAGUCACACUGGAACUGAGACACGGUCCAGACUCCUACGGGAGGCAGCAGUGAGGAACAUUGGGCAAUGCACGAAAGUGUGACCCAGCAACGCCGCGUGGAGGAUGAAGGUAUUCUAUAUCGUAAACUCCUGUGAGAGCAGACGAAAGACAGAUUAUUAAUUUGGAUGACUGUAUGCUCAGAGGAAGCCCCGGCUAACUACGUG
rnacentral:rRNA from 1 species